UGGGGAAUAUUGCACAAUGGGCGCAAGCCUGAUGCAGCCAUGCCGCGUGUAUGAAGAAGGCCUUCGGGUUGUAAAGUACUUUCAGUCGGGAGGAAGGUGGUAAGGUUAAUAACCUUAUCAAUUGACGUUACCGACAGAAGAAGCACCGGCUAACUCCGUGCCAGCAGCCGCGGUAAUACGGAGGGUGCAAGCGUUAAUCGAAAUUACUGGGCGUAAAGCGCACGCAGGCGGUUGAUUGAGUCAGAUGUGAAAUCCCCGGGCUUAACCCGGGAAUUGCAUCUGAGACUGGUCGGCUAGAGUCUUGUAGAGGGGGGUAGGAUUCCAUGUGUAGCGGUGAAAUGCGGAGAGAUGUGGAGGGAAACCGGUGGGGAAGGCGGCACCAAGGGAAAAGACUGACGCAAAGGUGCGAAAGCGUGGGGAGCAAACAGG
rnacentral:rRNA from 1 species